GACGAACGCUGGCGGCGUGCUUAACACAUGCAAGUCGAACGGAAAGGCCCUUCGGGGUGCUCGAGUGGCGAACGGGUGAGUAACACGUGGGUGAUCUGCCCUGCACUUUGGGAUAAGCAUGGGACACUGGGUCUAAUACCGACUAGGACAACGGCAGUCAUGUGCUGUGGUGGAAAGCUUUUGCUGUGUGGGAUGGGCCCGCGGCCUAUCAGCUUGUUGGUGGGGUAAUGGCCUACCAAGGCGACGACGGGUAGCCGGCCUGAGAGGGUGACCGGCCACACUGGGACUGAGAUACGGCCCAGACUCCUACGGGAGGCAGCAGUGGGGAAUAUUGCACAAUGGGCGCAAGCCUGAUGCAGCGACGCCGCGUGAGGGAUGACGGCCUUCGGGUUGUAAACCUCUUUCGCCAGGGACGAAGCGCAAGUGACGGUACCUGGAGAGGAAGGACCGGCCAACUACGUGCCAGCAGCCGCGGUAAUAC
rnacentral:rRNA from 1 species